rnacentral:rRNA from 1 species
UACGGGGGGGGGUAAGCGUUGUUCGGAAUUACUGGGCGUAAAGGGCUCGUAGGCGGCCAACUAAGUCAGACGUGAAAUCCCUAGGCUCAACCUAGGAACUGCGUCUGAUACUGGAUGGCUUGAAUUCGGGAGAGGGAUGCAGAAUUCCAGGUGUAGCGGUGAAAUGCGUAGAUAUCUGGAGGAAUACCGGUGGCGAAGGCGGCAUCCUGGACCGACAUUGACGCUGAUGAGCGAAAGCUAGGGGAGCAAACGGG